rnacentral:rRNA from 1 species
AGCUCUCUGCUAAAGGUUGCUGAAGUAUAGAGGGUGAAUUCUGCCCAAUGGUUGUACAGUGAAACUGAGGACUAACGUCUAAAGCGAAACCCAACUGAAUGGCCGCGGUAACUCUGACCGUGAUAAUGUAGCACAAUAAAUAGCCAAUUAAUUGUUGGCGGGUAUGAAUGGAAUCACGAGGGUCUUACUGUCUCAAGAGAAAAGCCGAUGAAAUUAUAGUUGUAGUGAAGAUACUACAUAAACAUUGUAAGACGAAAAGACCCUAUCGAGCUUUACUGGAUACCGAUAGCGUUAACCUAAUAUGAUCGAUACUAAGUAUCCUAAUUUUGGGUUAAUAAAUUUUGUUGGUAGGACAGUUUAGUUGGGGCGACUACCUUUGAAUAAGAAACGAAGGCGAGCUUAUGGUAUACAAAGCUAAUCUCAUUAGCCUGACAGUGAGGGGGACACCCCUAGCUGGCACAAGGACUACGUCCUAUGUGGGCGAUAAUGACCCGAUAUGAUUGUCCAAAAUAAAUAUCGAAAGCGGAUAAAAGCUACCGUAGGGAUAACAGCGUAAUAUUGUCGGAGAGUUCUUAUCGAGGACAGUGUUUGCGACCUCGAUGUUGAAUUGCGGUGUCCUGGUGCUGUAGAAGGUACCUUAGGUUGGUCUGUUCGACCAUGAAAACCGU